GUUUUAUUUUCUUUAAAUCAAGCAGGUUAUAUUUCAUUAGUUUUUACACAAUCUGAUAUUUGGAGCCAUUUGCAAAUAUGCUCAUAAAUUACAUGAUUUGUAAUCCUUAACGAAAAAAAUCAUAAAAGAAUGAGGUGGUUAAUGAUCAAUAUUGGGAUCAACAGUGAUCACCCUACUAAUGUAGGCAUUACAUAUGCAGGCAGAAAAGGAAAAGUUCCCUUUAAGGUCUCAUGUGAAACACCACAGGUCUGAAAUACUCAGGAACACAUGAAAAUGGCACAAAAAUGAAUUUCACUCCAACCUUUUGCUAAAGAGACGUUGACAGGCCCACAGAGCGCCUGGAGCUCACGGGACAACAAUCACAUUCUGCUUCAUGAAGAGGUCAGAUUAUCGUCAGACCAUAGACAUUACAUGUAAGGACACUGAACAUUUGGCCAGAUUACACAUAGAAAUGCAAUCCAAAACAAAAUGGGUAAAGAUAAAGCAUGUUUAUUGAUGCGGAAAACAAAGGUUCAAAUAUCCUCCAAAGCACUUCAAGCCCUCGAAGAAUGAAACUCAAAACGUAGAUGAGGUUAAAGAAGAAACUUCUAAAUGAAAGUGGAGCGACCCAGGGACAAGUCUGGUUUGGGUUCAAGAUUAUGGAUGGUUAACUUUGCGUAACGUGUUUGGACAAGCAAGUUUAGGUUUUAGGUAAGCGACUUCAGGUAUUAGGCAAACGAGUCUAGGUUUUAUGCAAACGAGUCUAGGCAAGCGAGUCUAGGCAAGCGAGUUCAGGCAAGCGAGUUCAGGCAAGCGAGUUCAGGCAAGCGAGUUCAGGCAAGCGAGUUCAGGGCAAGCGAGUUCAGGUCAAGCGAGUUCAGGCAUUAGGCAAGCAACGCGAGUUUAGCUAAGCAAGUUCAGGUUUUAUGCAAGCGAGUUUAGGUUUUAUGCAAGCGAGUUUAGGUUUUAUGCAAGCAAGUUUAGGUUUUAUGCAAGCAAGUUUAGACAAGCGAGUUUAGGCAAGCAAGUUUAGGUAAGAGAGUCAAGUUACUUUAGGCCUCACUUUAUUUGCGGUUAAAUUGCGGCAUUAGGUUUAGAAAGAAGGUUAAGAUCCAGGCUCAGGUUUGCUUCCAGGCUCGUCCCUCUAGCCGCUCCCUAUAAAGAGGAUUCCCAGCUACCGUGUUAAAAUACAACAGCUGGGAUUACAGAUAUGGAGUACAGAAAUAAAUGACAAAGAUUGAUUCAAACAUUCUUCCCCCAAAAUGUGGUGCAACAUAAUGGAGAAAAUAAUUACUUUCUCUCCAUUGAAACCCAGUCAUAUCUUACGAUCUCACGAGGUCCCGCCGCAAGGGGCGGACUUACAAGCUCUAUAGAGUGUGCACUGUGUGUUAAUGUUGGGUGUGGAUUAAUGUGCUGGUGUAGCCAGGGAUCCUCAGGGUUUAUGGGGAGUAGGACACACUGGUGUAGUUCAGUGCUGUGAAGUAAAUUGAUGCAAAAAGUAGAAUCAGUUUCAAGGGCAAUCAAAUGUCUAUAAAUGCAGGAACAGCCCCAUCUGGUCUCACUCAGCAUUUGAACAGUCCUAGAGAACCAGGUUUAAAAAAAAAUGUCAAUACGAGCCUCCAGGUGCAUUGGAGUUACUGCAUUUAAUUAACUUUAAU
ensembl:lncRNA